ACUCUGGUUUCUCUUCAGAUCAUAUAAAUCUUUCACCUUUUACUAACGAUUUCCAUGGAGUUACAAAUUCAUUCAGAGAGCUGCAAAGAGC
ensembl:snRNA U5 U5 spliceosomal RNA